rnacentral:rRNA from 1 species
GAUGAACGCUGGCGGCGUGCCUAAUACAUGCGAGUCGAGCGAACAGACGAGGAGCUUGCUCCUCUGACGUUAGCGGCGGACGGGUGAGUAACACGUGGAUAACCUACCUAUAAGACUGGGAUAACUUCGGGAAACCGGAGCUAAUACCGGAUAAUAUAUUGAACCGCAUGGUUCAAUAGUGAAAGACGGUUUUGCUGUCACUUAUAGAUGGAUCCGCGCCGCAUUAGCUAGUUGGUAAGGUAACGGCUUACCAAGGCGACGAUGCGUAGCCGACCUGAGAGGGUGAUCGGCCACGCUGGAACUGAGACACGGUCCAGACUCCUACGGGAGGCAGCAGUAGGGAAUCUUCCGCAAUGGGCGAAAGCCUGACGGAGCAACGCCGCGUGAGUGAUGAAGGUCUUCGGAUCGUAAAACUCUGUUAUUAGGGAAGAACAAAUGUGUAAGUAACUAUGCACGUCUUGACGGUACCUAAUCAGAAAGCCACGGCUAACUACGUG